AGAAGUUUAAAUGAAGGAGAUAUUAUUUCAUGGAAGAAUACAGAUUGGCAGCUUGUUGGUUCUAGUAAAUCAACUCAAAUUCAAUUUCUUGAUUUGGAAUCUGAAGUCUGUUCUAAACAAGAUGGAAGCCUUCAUCUUAUCCCUUUCUUGUCCUCUUAUGAUCAAGUAUCAUCUAUGUGCAGUAAACUCUCUGGUAAACCUGUUUCCUAUGUGAACAAAGACGACUUUAUGAACCUGGGAACCUUCCUGAUCAACUCAAAUUUUAAAAAUACCCCAUGCUACACUCUUGAUGAAGGAAAUCCUGAACACUAUUUUGCCAGAGGAUAUACUGCGGUUACUGAUGAGAUGAAGGAGGGGCUAUUUAUUGAUCCGUAUUCUGUUGCUCCGGUAGAUAAAUAUUU